UGGGGUUCCUCCAUUUAUUAAAAUUUGCAAUAUCCUUAGGUACACAUAAAACUUCACAGUAGCAUGCUAUAUUCUUAAAUUCAAAACAAUUAUUAUGAAUCCUGAUAUUUAUAAAGCAAUCAACAGCCAAAUCUCUGUGUGAGUCAGCAAUGAAGUCAUGUAUGUAAGUGCUCAUUACAUUCCCUGAGGUUGACAGACAAAAAUGUUUCCAAAUGUUGCCAAAUAUCGCCUGGAUGGAUAGAGGGAGUAAAAUGACCGUAACAGAGAAAUAACGUCUUAUAGAAAAUUUAAAUAAUAUUUAAGUUGUCAAAACCUUUCAUGUACACUCAAAGGACAGUGGGUCAGAAAGAGACUCUGAAGAACAAUUAAUUUAUUCACUGUUACCAGACAGGUUAAUACUGUAAUCUAUCAAAAUGAAGAAAGUGAUACACUGUUGCAAAUAAUAUUAGCACAAAUUAUCAUUGGGUCUAAAUUCUGUGUAAUCAAAAGAAUCUUGUUGGAGAAUUACUAUUUCUUUCCAGGUAACAGCAUAACAUGAAAUAAGAUGAUUAUAUCCAACAAUUGUUCACUUACUUAUGAUUCCUCAGUCUCUUUUCCUAAACAGUAUCAUUCUCUGCAGUGUUCCGCAAACUUCUAUUAUCCUUUCCAAUUGUGAACGUUUGUUAUUCAUUUCCUUGCUGAUUACUAGGUUCUAGGCACUCCUAGAAGCACUUUAGAGGAAUCAUCUCUUUUCAUGUUCACAGUGAACCUAAGAGGUAGUUAUUGUUAUUAAACUCAUUUUUCAGAUUAUGAAGCUGAAGCUCAGAAAGUUAAUGGGAGUUGCCAAGGUCAGAGAGUACUCAGGUAGUCUGACUUUCCUUCCUGUGCCUUUGUCCUUUAUUCUGUUCUACAUGUCCACUUCAUCAGUUCCAGACGGCUGGGGAGGCAUCACAAUCAUUGCCGAAUGUGAAUGAGGAGCAAAGUCAUCUAUUACAUGGCAGCAGGCAAGAGAGCUUGUGUAGGGAAACUCCUAUUUAUAAUAUUAUCAGAUCUCAUAAGACUUAUUCACGACCAAGAGAACAGUAUGGAGGAAACCACCCCUGUAAUUCAAUUAUCUCCACCUGACCCCACCCUUGACAUGUGGGGAUUAUUACAAUUCAAUUUGAGAUUUGGAUGGGGACACAGCCAAACCAUAUCAUUCUGCCCCUGGCCCCUCCCAAGUCCCAUGUCCUCACAUUUGAAACCCAAUCAUGCCUUCCUGACAGUCCCUCAAUGUCUUAAUUCAUUCCAGCAUUAACUCAAAAGUCCAAGUCUAAAGUUUCAUCUGAGACAAGUCCUUUCCACCUA
rnacentral:lncRNA from 1 species